UACAGAGGUCUCAAGCGUUUGUUCGGAUUCAUUGGGCGUAAAGGGUGUGUAGGUGGCGCGCUAAGUCGGGUGUGAAAUUUCGGAGCUUAACUCCGAAACUGCAUUCGAUACUGGCGUGCUUGAGGACUGGAGAGGAGACUGGAAUUUACGGUGUAGCAGUGAAAUGCGUAGAUAUCGUAAGGAAGACCAGUGGCGAAGGCGGGUCUCUGGACAGUUCCUGACACUGAGGCACGAAGGCCAGGGGAGCAAACGGG
rnacentral:rRNA from 1 species